rnacentral:rRNA from 1 species
GAAUUCGCCCUUAGAGUUUGCUUCUGGCUCAGGACGAACGCUGGCGGCGUGCCUAACACAUGCAAGUCGAGCGGAGACAUUGGAGAGCUUGCUCUUAGAUGUUUUAGCGGCGGACGGGUGAGUAACGCGUGAGCAAUCUGUCCUGUACAGGGGGAUAACAACUGGAAACAGUUGCUAAUACCGCAUGAGACCACAAGGCCGCAUGGUCAAGGGGUCAAAGGAGAAAUCCGGUAUAGGGUGAGCUCGCGUCUGAUUAGAUAGUUGGUGAGGUAACGGCCCACCAAGUCAACGAUCAGUAGCCGACCUGAGAGGGUGAUCGGCCACAUUGGAACUGAGACACGGUCCAAACUCCUACGGGAGGCAGCAGUGGGGAAUAUUGGGCAAUGGGCGAAAGCCUGACCCAGCAACGCCGCGUGAGGGAAGAAGGUUUUCGGAUUGUAAACCUCUGUCCUUGGUGACGAAGGAAGUGACGGUAGCCAAGGAGGAAGCCCCGGCUAACUACGUGCCAGCAGCCGCGGUAAUACGUAGGGGGCAAGCGUUGUCCGGAAUGAUUGGGCGUAAAGGGCGCGUAGGCGGCCGUUUAAGUCUGGAGUGAAAGUCCUUCUUUCAAGGAGGGAAUUGCUUUGGAUACUGGACGGCUUGAGUGCAGGAGAGGUAAGUGGAAUUCCCAGUGUAGCGGUGAAAUGCGUAGAGAUUGGGAGGAACACCAGUGGCGAAGGCGACUUACUGGACUGUAACUGACGCUGAGGCGCGAAAGUGUGGGGAGCAAACAGGAUUAGAUACCCUGGUAGUCCACACUGUAAACGAUGAAUGCAAGGUGUAGGAGGUAUCGGCCCCUUUUGUGCGCCAGUUAGCGCAUUAAGUAUUCCACCUGGGGAGUACGCCCGCAAGGUUGAAACUCAAAGGAAUUGACGGGGGCCCGCACAAGCAGUGGAUUAUGUGGUUUAAUUCGACGCAACGCGAAGAACCUUACCAGGACUUGACAUCCAACUAACGAAGUAGAGAUACAUUAGGUGCCCUUCGGGGAAAGUUGAGACAGGUGGUGCAUGGUUGUCGUCAGCUCGUGUCGUGAGAUGUUGGGUUAAGUCCCGCAACGAGCGCAACCCUUGCCUUUAGUUGCCAUCAUUAAGUUGGGCACUCUAAAGGGACUGCCUGUGACAAGCAGGAGGAAGGUGGGGAUGACGUCAAGUCCUCAUGGCCCUUACGGGCCGGGCUACACACGUACUACAAUGGCGAACACAGAGGGAAGCUUACCUGAGAGGGUUGGCGGAUCCUAUAAAAGUCGUCUCAGUUCGGAUUGCACUCUGCAACUCGAGUGCAUGAAGUUGGAAUCGCUAGUAAUCGCGGAUCAGCAGGUCGCGGUGAAUACGAUCCCGGGCCUUGUACACACCGCCCGUCA